rnacentral:rRNA from 1 species
GAUGAACGCUGGCGGCGUGCCUAAUACAUGCAAGUCGAGCGAACGGACGAGAAGCUUGCUUCUCUGAUGUUAGCGGCGGACGGGUGAGUAACACGUGGAUAACCUACCUAUAAGACUGGGAUAACUUCGGGAAACCGGAGCUAGUACCGGAUAAUAUUUUGAACCGCAUGGUUCAAAAGUGAAAGACGGUCUUGCUGUCACUUAUAGAUGGAUCCGCGCUGCAUUAGCUAGUUGGUAAGGUAACGGCAUACCAAGGCAACGAUGCAUAGCCGACCUGAGAGGGUGAUCGGCCACACUGGAACUGAGACACGGUCCAGACUCCUACGGGAGGCAGCAGUAGGGAAUCUUCCGCAAUGGGCGAAAGCCUGACGGAGCAACGCCGCGUGAGUGAUGAAGGUCAUCGGAUCGUAAAACUCUGUUAUUAGGGAAGAACAUAUGUGUAAGUAACUGUGCACAUCUUGACGGUACCUAAUCAGAAAGCCACGGCUAACUACGUG